rnacentral:lncRNA from 1 species
CUGGUACGCUCAUGCCCGGGAGCGGUCUGGAACGGUGGGCACAUCUCGGUCCGGCUGCAUUCCCACAUGGUUAUGGGAAUGCCGCCCAUCACUCACCCCCGGUGAUGGCUGCUCCUCCUCUCACAGUGGCUGGGUCUGUAAUCAUUAGAGACGCCAACCGCUGCAGCUUUGUUAGAUUUAAGGUUUUUUUAGUUAACCCUUAAAGUGCCAUUUCAUUAUUGACCUGUGGGUGUGCCACACACACGCCCACGAACACAUGCUUCUCUGCAGCGAAUCAGGGAGCACCUUAGACUAUAUAAACCUGUUUUGUCCAUUUCUCUGUGCCCUGUCGUGGUUUCCAUUGUGGUUAUCCGAGAGAGUGUUUCUUGUGUGUAUUGAUUCUUGUGUAUUUGACCUUGGCUUUCCUUCUGACUAUCCGAUCUCUGUAUUCCUUGACCUUUGGCCUGGCUCCUGACUAUUCUGAUAUCUCCAUUCCUUGACUCGUGGCUUGUUCAUCAUUUACGUUAUUUCUUGUGUUUUUUUCCUUUAUACGUUAAAUCCGGCCAUUCUAAGCCCCGGUAAUACGUUUUAGGAUCUUCCUUUAUAUUAAGUUCUGCGUGUUGGGCAUCAGCUAUUCCUGACACUCUGGGUUUUAAAGGAUUAAACAAGUGUGAUGAAUUCCAAGAUAGUCCCUGGGAACCACCAGAUGAUAAAAAUAAAUACAUUUCUACAUAAGCUAAUUAACAAACAAAUUGAACAUGUUCCUUUAAUAAUUAUCCUGUUUAUCCCUUCACAAAUCUAUUAUAAAUUUAGGAAAAUAAGAAACAUUUUCACCUUGGAAUUAAAUCUAGGUUCUUUUGCAACAAAAAUAUAAUUUAACACCAUAGAAAUAUAUAUCAAGUUGUAGGAAAUCUCUUACAGUUUCACAUUUUAUUGAUAAACCGUAUAAGGAUGAAAACGGCUGAUGUGACCUGUGGAAAGCAUUCAGAAUGUUUGAGUGGCGAUGGGGUUUGCGACAUGUCCCGCACGUUACACCGGCACUAAAGGCACUUUGGAUGGAAAGGUAACACUGUUUAAGAAUUUUGCAUUCAGUUGAUAAAUUCAAAAACCAUUUAAGUGCAGUUCACGUGUUCUUUUCUAAAUCCAGUAUUGAAAGUGGAAUAAAACAAUAAUGAUAAUAUUGGAAAAAAAGAAGACAAACAUUUCUUUAAGGUGACAGACUGCAGAAAGAAAGAAAAAACACAUCAAAGCAGAAAAAUCAAACUCAGAAAAGAAAACGCACAUCAUGAAUAAAGUUCUAAACUCAAAACUCCAGUUCUGGGAUGUCAGUCCGUGCCAAGUUAAACACAGCUAUUGGUAACAUAAGCCAUCUUGCAAGAAAAGGAAAAAAAAAAAAAAACCGAUUUAAAUCGAUGUAAAAUCCUCCUUUUCAAAUAAAAAAUAUGUAUAUAUAUAAAAUAAAAAUUGCACUUGUAAGAAAUUGACCAAUAAUGUUUUUUUUUUUUGAUUUGCUUAUAAGGUGAGAAAAUAGACAGCUGUGACAUAACCCCUGCACUGCAGACAGGCAGAUAGUGGUACAAAAACAAUUAUCCCCAGAUUAGAUCUGACCUCCCUUCACAAAAUGUGCAGUGGGAGGUACAACCAAUCGAUUCCAAUGGCACAACAGGAAAAAGAAAAAAGAAACCGCUCCACUUGCUGUGGAUUUCACAGCAUGAAAAGUCAGCAACACUGAAUUCAAUCUUUGGUUUUUCCAUUUUCUGAUUACAGGAAGGUAGACAAUGAGACAGCGUUCCUGUAUUCCUGUAGUCACUGCUCCUGUGUUAGAUGCAGGAGUUGGUGGAGAGUAGGGCACAGUUGGUCAGAAGAUAUCUGGCUCUCACGUGUGGCGCUUUACAUGUUUGUCUGAGCCAAUGUCCACCGUGAUGUUUGUAUAGAGUGGUAGAAGCUCUUUCGAUAUAAAUGUGUACUGCAGGGAGUUCAUGCCAUCUUGUUUCCAUGUCCGUCGAGUCUUCGCCAACAGAUUGAACCUAAAAGAAAGCAGAUAAGAAUUCAGGACACAAAGCUCAUUCACGGGACUUGAGUUUCGAUAUUGUUAUUGCAGUGCUUAUUGUUAGUCUUACACAACAAGUUGCAAUGGGUCAAACGAUCAGAAUGAAAUCUGCAGUUCUAAAAUGACACAGUGGCUAUUACAGAUCAAUGAUUAUAAAACCCUGGUCUGGCUAGAGAAUGUUUCAGUGGGUCCCACGCCACAUUGUAUAUUCCCCAAGGCUAUAUAGACCCUGCUGGGAAGUGGAAAAAAAAAUGUUUUCCAAUAAGAAAGGCACUGAAG